AAUUCUGUCGUCCUCCAUUCCCUUCAUGUUCAUAUGCCUGGCCCCAAUGUCUUAUACUAGCGUUUCUGCUUCCGUCACUUUCCCCAGCAGCCCAUUCCAGGCACCUACCAUUCUCUGGAAAAAAACUUGUCCCGCACAUCUCCCUUAAACUUUCGCCCCUCUCACUUUAAAGUUACGCCUUCUAGUAUGUUAAAUUUCUAACCUGGGAAAGAGACUGUGACUAAUUUCGGAGUUAGGACCGUUAAUCCAGGCGGGCAUGGGGACAAGCAGCCGAAUACAACCUCGUGGGUACUACGAACAAACAGCAGCCGUUGGAAAUCUAGGUGGGCUUUAGGACCUAGCAGCCGCUGAUAACAUCGCAGGUGCCCGAACCGAGCGGUGAUUGUAACACGGUCGGCGCUAAGACCCAGCAGCCCGCGGUAAUCUCACGGGCGCCAAGACCCAGCAGCCUAUGGUAAUCUCGCGGGCGCCAGCACUGAAUAGCCGGUCAAUGACCUCGCGAGCGACAGGACCAAGCAGUUGACGGUGGUGACCCGGGCAGGCGCUUGGGAUCAACCCCCACCACCUCCAUCAACAGCUGGUGGUAAUACGGCGGGUAUCAGGACCUGGCGGUGCUCCCGCCUAGAGGCAGUCAAGUCCCCCUCAGAAGCGCCGAACUGUGUGCGAGGAUCUGGCUGCGUCGGAGCCACCGUUGGCCGUUUGAAGGUGCAUUUUGCAGUGUGUGUUUCACUUGAAACAAGGCUUGAGAAACUCUUGAUAACUCCUUCAUCUGUGCUGCUGCUUCACAUCUGGUUUGAGUGUUCACCUACUCAGGAAAUGGAGUAUGGAGUGAAGAAUAUUGAAUCAUAAGACUGGUCGGCCCUCCGUAUCCGCGGGUUCUACAUCCGCAGGUUCAACCAACUACGGAUCAAAAAUAUUCGAAAAAAAAUUCCUGAAAGUUCCAAAAAGCAAAACUUGAAUUUGUCGUGCGCUGAGCACUACACUGAAUCCACGCAAAUGAAGUGAUGUGUAGGCAUACCCUGCUGUAGCUUCUCGCCAUUUCACAGAUCCUCAGUUUCUCUCCAGCACUGUUUGAGCAUUGUUCGCCUCGCAUCUCGUUCAUUCGCUCCUUGUUUUGUGAGCGAGAGGAAGGAGUUUAAGGCUAGUAAGGGAUGUCUGGCUAGUUAUGUAAAGCGCUACAGCCUCAAGAACUUAAAGAUCACAGGAGAAUCAGGAUUGGCUGACGCCGAGGCGACAUCAGCGUUCCCAGAAGAGCUACGAUGGUUGCGUCCGUACUGAACAUGUACAGACCUUUUUUUUGUCAUUAUUCCCUAAACAAUACAGUAUAACAACUAUUUACACCGUAUUUACAUUGUAUUAGGUAUUAUAAGUAAUCUAGAGAUGAUUUAAAGUAUACGGGAGGAUGUGCGUAGGUUAUAUGCAAGUACUACGGCAUUUUAUAUAAGGGACUUGGGUAUCCGCGGGGGUUCCUGGAACCAAUCCCCCGCAGAUACUGAAGGAUGACUGUAUUUACUAACACAGAAACACGAGCAACAUGCACAGAAUUUCAGAGUUCGGAGUUCAGUUCUGACACAGUCUGUUAAUAAAAAAAAGUUUGUAUGAACUUCCUGUGGGCAUGUGGGAUUCCUCUGGGUGCUCUGGUAUCUUCUCACAUUCCAAAGAUGUACCAGUUAAUAGGUUAAUUGGUCAUUGUAAAUUGUCCUGUGAUUAGUCCAGAGUUAAAUAAGUGGGUUGCUGGGUGGUGUGACUUGUUGAGCUGGAAGGACCUGUUCCGCCCUGUAUCCCUAAAUAAUAAAUAAAUAAAUAGAUAAAUAAAUAAAUAAAGUUUACUAGGCCGUGCAGCAUCUAUGGAGGGGAAUAAACGGUCAGUGUUUUAUAUUUUAAUUUUUAAAUUGUCAAGCCAUGCCACCCAGCAAUCCUCGAUUUAAUCCUAGCCGAAUCAUAGGUCAGUUUCUAAUGACCAAUUAACCUCCCAAUUGGUAAGUCUGUGGGAGGAAACCAGAGCACCUGGAGAAAACCCAUGUAGUCACAGGAAGAACAUAUGAACUCCUUACAGGCUGUGGCAGCAAUUGAGCCCAGGUUGCCUGGACUGUAAAGCAUUGAGCUAACCACUAUGCUACUGUGCUGCCCUAGUUUUGGGCUGAGACCCUUCAUUGGGACCAGAAAAGAAGGGGGGUGGAAACCAGAAUAAGGAGGGGAGAGGGAAAGGAGUACAAGCUGGCAGGUGGUAGGUGAGACCAGGUGAGGGAGAAGGUGGUUGGUUGGGGGAAGUGUCUCAGUCCGAAAUAUCGGCUGUUUAUUCCCCUCCAUGGAUGCUGCCUGCCUUGCUAUUUAUUUACUGCUUGUUUAAAAAUUAAAUUCUGUUGACAUCAAUGUGAUUUGAAGCUUCACAAACAGACUGCUAAGUAUGCUUGAGUACUUUUGACCACACUCCAGAAUGAGAAUAGCCCAGCUACAGAAGUCUGUAGUGUUCAUGUGAUGCUUCCGUUUGCCACAUUCUGAAGCCAAGCACCAGGACAGUGUCAACUCAUGCAUUGAAGCAAAAGAGAAAAUGGGCCUUCCAGUUAAUACCCCCAAGAUAAAGGUCCUCUACCAGUCUGCCCAGCUGCACCAUAGUGCACAGUAAAAAUGAAGGUUCCUGCAUUGAAAUGUUGAGGUUUUCUUAGUUUAGGUUGUUAUCAGUGAUUAAAUUCACCAUCCUCUUCAGUGCUCCAAGGUUGUAAUCAAUCCAUUGUUUCUGGUGCCACAAGCAGCAAGUAUAUAGGAAUAACAGGAUAUGUCACAUAAAUGUGUGGCUAAAGGAAUGGCACAGGAGAAUGGCCUUCAGGUUCAUGGAUCAUUGGGAGUGAUUUUAAGGAAGAUGUGACCUGUCUAAGCAGGUUGUACCUUAACCAAAGUGGGAUUAACGUCCUUGCUGGGAGGUGUGAGUGCACUGUUAGAGAAAAUUUAAACUAAGUUGGCAAGAGAAAGGGCCUUGGUAGAUGGAGAGGUACAGUCACCUAGAGGAGAAAUAGUUAAUAAGUCCAGUAGGCAGAAUAACCAAGUAAGGGAAUUCAAAGUUAAAUUGCAUCUAUUUUAAUGCAAGUAGAACUAGUAAAGUAGAUGACUUCAGAAGUUUUUAUUUAUACGGAGGGGUAUGAUAUCAUGGUCAUAUCUGAGACAUAGAACAAAGUACAGGGACAGGCACUUUGGCCCAUAAUAUUGUGCUGAACUAAUUAAAUUAAUGAUCAAGUGCCCAACUAACCUAAACCCCUCUGCCUACACAAUAUCCAUAUACUUCCAUUUCAUGCACACAUCUGUGUCUAUGCAAUAAAUGCCUCUAUUGUAUUUGCCUCCACUACCACCCCAGGCAGUGCAUUCCAGGCAUCCAUCACUCUGUUUUUUAAAAAAAAGUAAGAAAAUUACUCUGCACAUCUCCUUUGAACUUCCCCUCUCACCUUAAAUGCAUACCCUCUGGUAUUAGAUAUUUCAACCCUGAGAAAAAGAUACUGUCUGUCAACUCUGUCUAUGCCUCUCAUAAAUCUUAUAAACCUCUAUCAGAUCUCCCCUCAGUCUCCACUGUUCAAAAGAACAACCCUGGUUUGUCCAACCUCUCCUUAUAACAUGUCCUCUAAUCCAGAGAGCAUCCUGUUAAACAACUUCUGCACCCUUUUCAAAGCCACCCUCCCUUAAGUGGGGCAACCCUUUAUAUUGUUGGCUCUUUGAUAGACAUGGUCGAAGGAUGGGUAUUACUGGCAACUCAGUAACCCAGGGUGUAGAAUUUUCAGCAAGAUAACAGAAGAGGGAGUAUUAAUUACACUGUGUAAGUAGAGAUUAGAAACAAUUAAGGUGUUGUCACUUUGGAGUGUAUUACAAAUCUUCCAACAGUUAAAAGGAGAAGGAGGAACAGAUAGGUAGGCAAAUAUCAGAGGCACAAUAAAAAUAGGGUUAUUGUACUAGGGAUUUCAACUUAUCAAGUAUCAGCUGGGAUUGCCUCAGCAUUAAAGCCUUGGGGGUGGGGGAGAGAAUUUUUGAGGUGUGUUCUUGAGAAAUGCAGCUGGUCAAGUGGAGGGGAGUAUCAGUAAGCGAUUAUUUUGGAGAUGGUUAUAAUUCUGUAUAUUUUAAAUUGGUUACAGAAAAGGGUAGGGAUGUAUCAAUAAUAAAGGUCUUAAAUUUGGGUAAAGCCAAUUUCAUUAACAUAAAGUUGGACCUGGCAAAGGUGGAUUGGGAACAUCUAUGUCUGCACAACAGGAUGUAUUCAAAAGAGAAAUAACAAAAUUUCAAGUCGAACACAUUCCUGUAAGGGCAAAAGCCAGGGAUAACAAGUAUCAGGAACCCCAGAUAUUGAAGACUGUAUAAAGAGAUAAAAGGAAGCAUAUGGUAGAUAUAGGGAGCUAAUGACUGAGGAGGCCUGUUAACAGUGUAAUAAAAAAAGGAAACUUGGGGAGGUUGAGAUUGGUCAGAGGAACUCAUGGUCAGAUAAGAUUUAGGUAAAUAUGACGGUGUUCAAUAAGAUUGAAGUAUAUAAAAAUAAUGAGGGGUAUAGAUUAGAGAGACUGCAGGAAACUGUUUCACCCCCCUCUUCUCUUUUUCCAUUCCCCUUUCUGGUUACCGUCUUAUCCCUUCUCCAACAUGUUCAUCACCUCCUCAUUCCCUUUCUCCCAUGUUCUAUUGGCCUCUCCCAUCAGGUUCUACCUUCUUCAGCCCUUUAAUUCUUCCACCUGUCACCUCUUAUUAUUUCAACAUUCCACCCAUCCACCCACCCAACUUCCCAAUUACCUGGUUUCACCUCUCUUUUGCCAGUUUGUACACCUCUCCCGCCUUCUUAUUUUGGCUUCUACCGCUUCCUUUUCAGUCCUGAUGAAGGAACUUGGCCUGAAACUUAACUUAGUUCCCCUCCAAGAAACACUUGCUGUGUUUCUCCAACAGUUUGUGCGUGAUGCUCAAGAUUUCCAGCAUCUGUAGAAUCUCUUCUGUUUAAUUUCAGUAGAAGAGUUUGAAGGUGCCUUGUAGGCCUGAUCAGUCAUCUCAGAACCCAUAAAAGCACAAUGAAAACAAGUUAUCCUGGAACCCAAAGGUCUGUUUAAGAAGACAGACUAAUUAUUCCUUUGAAUACGAUGUUGUAAGUUGUAACACAUAAAAACAGAACUCAAAAUGUUACUUGACAAAAUUUUAAAUUAAUUUUUGAUUUUUUUUUGGUGCUGCCAUGUCACAAUGAAGUAUUUGAAUAGAUCAAUUGUAAUAAAAAAUAUUCUUUAAAUGAAUUUCCACAAUUGAAAUAUCUAUGUUUACACUAAAACAGUGGUGAACUUUGUGCAUACACACAGCUGUUGUUUAACAAACAGCUUUGGGGAGGGGAAAAUGCGAAAUGAUAGGAGAAGACCGGAGGGGGUGGGGUGAAGCUGAGAGCCGGAAAGGUGAUUGGCAAAAGGGAUACAGAGCUGGAAAAGG